rnacentral:rRNA from 1 species
ACGCUGGCGGCGUGCCUAAUACAUGCAAGUUGAACGCAACAAAGACACCAGAGCUUGCUCUACGUCUUUGUUGAGUAGCGAACGGGUGAGUAACGCGUGGGUAACCUGCCUUAUAGCGGGGAUAACUAUUGGAAACGAUAGCUAAUACCGCAUAACAAUAGAGAUUGCAUAAUCUUUAUUUGAAAGUGCCAACUGGUACACUAUGAGAUGGACCCGCGUUGUAUUAGCUAGUUGGUAGUGUAAUGGACUACCAAGGCGAUGAUACAUAGCCGACCUGAGAGGGUGAUCGGCCACAUUGGGACUGAGACACGGCCCAAACUCCUACGGGAGGCAGCAGUAGGGAAUCUUCGGCAAUGGACGAAAGUCUGACCGAGCAACGCCGCGUGAGUGAAGAAGGUUUUCGGAUCGUAAAACUCUGUUGUUAGAGGAGAAUGUUGAUUAGAGUGGAAAAUUAAUCAAGUGACGGUAUCUAACCAGAAAGGGACGGCUAACUACGUG